rnacentral:lncRNA from 1 species
AGGGCACAGGGAGUCCUGCCCUUCUGCGGAGUGUUCAGGGACAGAAACCCAGGAGCUGAAGAGAGUCGAGCUCUCCCGGAAGCCGCCCAGAUGCCCAGGGAACACGGGCAGCAGGAAUGACACGGCACAGAGCUCUGGCCACAGGAGACUGGCUUUGACUCUGACUAGGAAGGGCAGUGCCAAGGACAAAAACGCAGUCUGCCGGGAAAGCAGGUCUGUUCACCGACCGCGGAAGGAGAAAUCCUCGUGGUGGCCGGGAAAGCGAGGCCCGCACUGCUGCAGGAAGCACGUCUCCCACCUGCCCAGGCCGGCGGCAGCACACAGCGCAGGGAGAAGCCGGACAGGCAGGUCCACAGGUGACAGCAGUCAUCCCCGCGCCGCGGGCCAGCAAGGUCCAGGCUGCCGGACUCACGGUCCUGGGAAGGUGAGGCAGCAAUGAUGGGACUGCAGUGAGGGACCACAGGUGGGGCUACUGCUGGGGGAGCCGGGGGAGCUCAGGUUCAGUGGACCCGCAGCCCUACAAGUGCAAAAGCCCCGGAGCUGCGCAGUCAGGCCGGCCGCAGCAUGGUCGCAGCUAAGCUAUUUAACAAACCAAGGCUUUUAAAAAUUCAAGUCCAGCCCUUUUGUGUUUAGAACAGGAAACGGUACAGAAAGAGAAUGAUCUGAUGACUAACUCAGGG